rnacentral:rRNA from 1 species
UACAGAGGGUGCAAGCGUUGUUCGGAAUUAUUGGGCGUAAAGGGUGCGUAGGCGGUGCGGUAAGUCUGUAGUGAAAUCUCUGGGCUCAACUCAGAGUCUGCUAUAGAAACUGCCGUGCUUGAGUGUGGGAGAGGUGUGUGGAACUCCGAGUGUAGAGGUGAAAUUCGUAGAUAUUCGGAAGAACACCAGUGGCGAAGGCGACACACUGGCCCGAUACUGACGCUGAUGCGCGAAAGCGUGGGGAGCAAACAGG